UACCCUUCCAAUACCUCCUCCCAUAUUUUCGAUCUUAAUGUUUUGAUCUUGUGGACAAGUUGAAAUUCCAGAAUCAUUAACAUUGAUUGAAAUUUCUGUGCUUUUAAGUCUUUUGUUGCCACCACACAUAGCUAGAAAGGCUGCUUCUUGAACUUCUUUAGGCACCCCAUGACAAAUGGCAACAUUAUGCCCUUCCUCUCCUGAUAAAUGCCAUUUGAUCCUUGAAAUGGAGGUUUUAUUGGCAAAUGUAUGUGGACAAAACUUACACUUCAUGCUACCAUCUGCCCUAUCUUCAAUAUAAUUCCAAAAUGGAUCCUUUGAUCCAACCAUUUCAACCUAUAGAAAAAAAAAGAGGGUCAAAUAAAGAAUAAAAAUUGAUGGAGGUUACACCAUAUCUGGAUGGAUGAGAAACUACUUCAGCGCUGUUACCCUUAUUUUGCUAUUAAAAUUGAUAGUUAGUUUAUUGCACAAUCAUAGUAAUUUAGUUAGACUUCUUACUUGUAAACCCCUAAGUUGACUUUGGAGGGGAGUGUCAAGGCCAGGAUUUGAGGCAUUUGGCCUAGCAGUUUGAAUUUGCAAUCCUGUGACUUGAAGGUCAUCCUCGGAGUUGGAGCUUACUUUGUCGUUUCUUGCUAUUGCUUGUGAAGAAAUCCUCUCUUCCUCUACUCCAGGUUCUACAACCUGAACUUCUCUAUGUACCCUUCCAAUACCUCCUCCCAUAUUUUCAAUCUUAAUGUUUUGUUCUUGUGGACAAGUUGAAAUUCCAGAAUCAUUAACAUUGAUUGAACUUUCUGUGCUUUUAAGUCUUUUGUUGCCACCACACAUAGCUAGAAAGGCUUCUUCUUGACUUCNNNNNNNNNNNNNNNNNNNNNNNNNNNNNNNNNNNNNNNNNNNNNNNNNNNNNNNNNNNNNNNNNNNNNNNNNNNNNNNNNNNNNNNNNNNNNNNNNNNNCGUGUGACCUCGUCAAAUGCAUCUCCCCGGCUCUCAUUCCUUUAAUUAUUCCCUCAUCGACAAAUAACCUAUCAACUCCUCCCUUUCAAUCUCACUAUCUUCAGGAAAUAAUGCACAGUACAAGAGACAUUGUUGUAGUGCUAAAUCACCUAAUUGAUCGUAACUAAACCUCAAUAACUUGAAUACUUCCGUGUCCCUAAAUUCUGAUUCUCUCAAUUUCUUCAACGUAUUUCUCCACUCAUGUAGGUCAUCCACUCCCCUCAAGCUUCCUGCCACUGUAAUAAUUCCCAAUGCCAAACCAGCACAUUCCAUAACAAUAGCUUUUGCAAUUCCUUCCACUUCUGGUGAAAGUGCUAUGUCACGUCCAAGUUUCUCCAUAAACAAAGUCCAAGCUUCUCCAUUAGAAAGUGGCUUCACUUUGAUUUUGUGGUGGCAAGCCAUCCGAUGACAAACCGUUUCUGAUCGAGUUGUCAUAAUCAGCUUGCAUCCUUUCAACGGGCCAGGAAUUCCCACUUUUUGGAGCUCAAAAUUGUUCCACAAAUCAUCUAAAAUGAGAAUCCAUUUUUGUUUUUUCAUUAGUUCUUUUGAUAGUUUGGCAGCUCCAUGCAGAUCAUCAACCUCCCUGGAAAGGUCAAGAUCAAGAUGUUUAGCAAUAAGAUUCUGCAAUCUAUUAAUGCUGAAAUCUUGAGACACAGUCACCCACCAAACAUAAUUGCAAAUAUCUGGUCUUUGUAGAAGCUCAUUAUGAAUAUGUUGCAGUAUUGUUGUUUUACCAACUCCCCCCAUCCCAUAAAUGCCAAUGGUUAGGACUUCAUCAUUCAUUAACAAAGACCAUAUAACUUUCGUAUUCUCUUUAAAUGCUUGACCCACUGGCUUUGCAGAGCUAGUAGGUAAUGGAACUCCUGCAGAAUUGUUGUAUUUCAGACUUUUAGAAUAUCUAGCUCCUGCGCCAGCCUGCACUACUGAUCUUCCACUACUCUCCUCAUCCUCCUCCUCCUCCACUGGUUCUGUCCUCACUCUAUCCUGCUCAUCAUGCAUAGUUACCUCAUAGUUUACUGAUGAAGCACAAGGUUGAUCAUAACCUCUUCCAAUGUCAAGACAAAAUUGGGAUGAAUCUCCUCGCGGCUCUAGAAGCUGCACUUGCUCUGUUCUUGGUAUAGCCUCAAAUGCAUCAUGCUGAAAAGAUCCUUCACCAGUGUUUUCUAUGCCAUUUUCUAAUUGUAAAUGCGACUGAAUUCUCUCUUCUCCGGGACCUUGUUUCAUGCCCUGAACUCCCACUUGUAUCCUUCCAGCACCCCCUGCCAAAUUGCCAAGUACUGCAUUGCUUUGUUCCAACGCUCGAUCCACUGGUUCUGUCCUCAGUCUACUCUCGAGUGCCUCUUUGGAAACUCUAUCUUCAUGUGCUCUCAUUCCAGUCAUGCUUACUUCGACGUUUCCUGCUAUUGCAUGUGAAGAAAUCCUCUCUUCCCCUACUCCGGGUUCUACAACCUGAAAUUCUCUUUGUACCCUUCCAAUACCUCCUCCCAUAUUUUCGAUCUUAAUGUUUUGAUCUUGUGGACAAGUUGAAAUUCCAGAAUCAUUAACAUUGAUUGAACUUUCUGUGCUUUUAAGUCUUUUGUUGCCACCACACAUAGCUAGAAAGGCUGCUUCUUGAACUUCUUUAGACACCCCACGACAAAUGGCAACAUUAUGCCCUUCCUCUCCUGAUAAAUGCCAUUUGAUCCUUGAAAUGGAGGUUUUAUUGGCAAACGUAUGUGGACAAAACUUACACUUCAUUCUACCAUCAUCAGCCCUUUCUUCAACAUAGUUCCAAAAUGAAUCAUAUCCGACUUGUUGAGUAUUUAAACCCCUAAUUUGACUUUGCAGGGCAGUGUCAAGGCCAGGAUUUGAGGCAUUUGGCCUAGUAGUUUGAUUUUGCAAUCCUCUGAGUUUGAGGUUAUCCAUAUGUGACCUGUAUAAAAAUGAAGUGAUCAUAUUAUAAAACCAAAAAUCAAUGGUGUAUCUAAUUAUCAAAAAGGUAUUAAUAUUGUGUUAAAACACAACAGCUAGAAGUCAAUCAGAACCUAGUAGAGUUUCCAAAGUGCCGAGGCACGACUGUUGUUGUAUAUUGUCUAUGUUAGGAAUUACAGCAGCUUGAUUACAAAAAUAUUGACUCCUGAAUCCAAAAUCAUUCGCAAACAAUAUGAAGCAUUACAAACUUAUGCUUAGUUUGCUGGGUUCAUGUUCAAGCUAUGAUGUUUCUUUCCUGAUUGAAAAAAUCAACUUUUUAACAGAUGGUGGGAAAUCCUUCCAUCUCACCACAAGUACAUGAUGAAUAAUACAGGAGGUGAAAAAAGAAGAGAAAGCACAUAUCAGAGAAGAGUAUAUACAUAUGACAAAUCUGAGAAAAAGAUCAAUUUAUUUAUCAUGGAUUACUUUAAAGAUUCAAACCAUAGUUACAAAUAUAAAAACAAAAACACCAACAAGAUGAAGAAGAUGAAGUACAAAUAAUUUACCUGGAUUCAAGAUGUUCUUCAAGCGCUGGUUUGCUUGAGCAGUAAUCAGCCAAAAAAAGAGAAGAGAAAUCACAGAUCAGAGAAGAAUAUAAGAUUUAGAAAAAUAAUAAAGUUGCAGUAUACAUAAAUCUAGUUCGCACUGGUGAGAUGUGGAAAAGAAAAUAGGUAGAAGAUGAUUAGUACGUCCUGAGGAUUAAAAGAGGAGAAAUCACAGAUCAGAGAAGAUUAUAUGAUUUAGAAAAAUAAUAAAGUUGCAGUGCUGAGGGGGAAAGGAAAACAGAGAAUGGUAAUAAUAAUAAUAAAUAAAUAAUUAUCGUAUUGUUUGAUAGGAAGGAAGGAAGUUGCUAGGAAGGAACCCAGCGCUUACCGACCAAGCAUUAUAUUAUAAGAUAUAGAAAGUUAACGUGUGGACCCCCCUAAUGUUGAAACUUUGAAGAAGCUGCCUGAAAAAUUUAAGUUGCUUGGAGAUUUGAUUAAUCAAACUAAUUUAUUUUUAUUUUUAAUGUUAUUAUAUAAAAAAUAUUAAAAAUAUAUUUUUUCAAGACUAAUAAAUUUUUAAAAUAUAUAAAAUUUUAAAUACAAAAACAAAUUAUAUCUUGAUUGUAUUGUAACAAUCUUCAUCUUUAAAGAUAAAUUACUAGGAAGAUAUGUAGUGUCGAUUUCACAUUGAAAUAAAUGAAAAGAAUAAAAGGAAAUAUUAAAUGAUUUAAUAUUAAAGAACAAAAAUUAAUUUUCAAUGCAUAUUAAUGAAAAAGGUUUAAAUUAUUCAAAGAGCAGAUAGUCGGAAUCCCUGGCACACAUUUAAUAUUUUUAUUAUUUUUAUUUUGUUGAACAACUCAAUUUGAAGUUAAAUUCCCAAAAUUUCCACUUAAAAGUUUAAAAGGUAUGGAUAAUUAAAUCAACAUAAAUGUACCCCUUUUUGAAAAAUCAUUCACCACUUUCUUUUAAAUACGCAAAUGAUUAUCCCUAUUAAUAAAAUUCAAUGAAAACAACAAUAUACAAGUAACAAUAUUACAGCAAAAAAAAAAACUUGAAGGAUGUAGUUCAACUGGUCAAUUCCUGGAUUUAUUUCUUAAAAAUUAUCAGUUUAAAUUUCAAAAAUAUCAGGAUUACCAGAUGUUUACAUGAUCAUUAACUUUAAAUAUCGUAAAAUUAAUGAUUAUCCCUAUUAAUAAAAUUUAAUGACAACAACAAUACACACGAGUAGCAAUAUUACAGCAAAAAAAAUUAAAUCAAUACAGAUAAAUAAAUGAUUCAAGUGUAUUAAAAUAAUUAAUCCAUUCAAUAGCUAGAGAAAGCGUGACUUAAUGCAUAAAAUGCAUAAAUCCUAUGAUUAUUUGGAGAAGAGUUAGAAUAAAUGGGAUAUCUUUUGCCCAAAAAAACAAGCUAUUUUAAGCAUUUUCGAUUCUAUAUUAAAUGUAUAAAGAAAAUUCAAAUUUCCUACCUUUAUAAGAGGUUUUUUUGCAGGGAAGACGACCCAAUGCCAUCCAAACAGAAAGACAAAGACAAAGGCUUGAAAAGUAGAACAAAAGUCCAGAUCAUGGGCUCAAAUGGUUUCAGAUGAAGAUAAAAUUUUCCAAAUUAAAGGUUCUCCCUUUGGAAACCUUGAUCAUGUCGGAUACCAGCAAUGAGGAGAGACUAGUGAUGAUGGAUCAUGUUACGUAACUUUAAUCACGUCGGAUACCACCAACAAUAUUCCACCAGGUAAUUAAUUUCAUUCAGAUAGUUCAUGGGAAAGGUACAAACUGACUUGGUGAAACAAUCAACUAUCACCCAAAUUGAAUUAUAACUCUUCCGAGACAAAUUUGACAUAAAAUCUAUAAUGAGUUUAUAUCAUUUCCAUUCAAAAAUCAAUAAUGAUUGUAAAAGUCAGGAAUCCUCGAUGGUUGUAAAAGCCCUAAUAACUUCUGAUGCUCGCUUUUAAUUCUUUGAUAGGUUAAGUAUUGAGAUACAAACUCAAUAAUGUUUUUUAUGCCAUUUCAUUAGUAAAUUGUUUCAAGUCUAUACAUAUUGUUAAAACUAGGAUGUGCAUUAUAGAUGGUUUGAUAUGCUUCCGUCAUUAUAUCUCUUUUCAAAUCAUUCACCUCAAGCACACAAAAACCUAAUCUCAACAAACCAUCCUUACCAACAACAAAACUUGAAGCUUUUCCUAACUCUAACUCAUCUUGAAUCUUAUAUAGCUGCUCAUCUCUCAUCAAUUGCUUGCUUUAAUCUGGUCUACCAAGUUCGACUUAGUUUGAAAGUGAGCCAACAAUGCUCCCAAUUCUCCAAUCUCAAAACUAACCUUCUCAUCCAACAACUUGUGUAACUCCCUAAUCAAUAGCCUCCUCAUCUCUUGAAUACAAGCCAAACCACCAUAGACUUUAUGCUCAAGGUAUCGGCAACAACAUUCACCUUUCUCGGGUGAUAUUGAAUCAUGCAUUCAUAAUCACUUAAAAAUUCUAUCCACCUUCUUUGUCUUAUAUUUAGAUCUUUUUACAAGCGGUAGAGUAGAGGCAAGCUUACAGACAAGAAGAAACAAGUGAAGGAGCUCUUGUUGCAGUUUCUAAGGAGAGUCGGGCUAAGAAUUUUUACAAGAACAAUCAAGAAGGAAAAAGAGAAAGAGGGAGAAGCUGGCAAUCAAAUAACUGGCAUCAAAACAAUAAAAAUAUAAUCACUCGAGGGAAAGAAAAGAGAGAACAUUCCCUCCCUGUAAAUUCUGUCGGAAAACAAAUCAUCUAGAAGCUUGGUGCUGGCUUAAGAAUGCACAAUGCAGAAGUUGCAAACAAUUUGGUCACAUCCAAAGGUUCUGCAAAAACAAAUCACUAGCAGCGAAACAAGCAUAUAUUGCAGAAAAUUUAGAAGCCAAGGAAAAUCAUUUAUUCAUGGCUACGUUUGAACAGAUGUGCAACACAGCAGAGGUAAACAAUUCAGCAUGGCUUAUUGAUAGUGGUUGCACUAAUCAUAUGACUGCAGAUUUGAGUUUAUUCAAGGAUUUGGAUAAAAGCUACAUGUCCAAAGUUAGAAUUGGCAAUGGAGAGUAUGUGAAGGUUGAAGGCAAAGGGGCGAUUGAAGUUGAAACAAUGUCAGGUACAAAAACUCUAAAAAAUGUGCUUUAUGUACCUAAGAUUAAUCAGAAUCUAGUGAGUGUGGGACAAUUACUGGAAUCUGGUUACUCAAUAUUCUUUAAUAAUGGAGUGUGUGAUAUUAAAGAUAAAAAUGGAGUGCUACUGUUUUCUGCAAAAAUGAUGAACAGAAGUUUUAAUGUUGAUUGGAGAGAAGUAUGUUUGAGUGUUAACACUUAUGAGAACAAUGAAACUGUUCUUUGGCAUAAACGGUUGGGGCACUUCAAUUAUGCAACUUUAAAGAGAAUGGCUGACCUGCAGAUGACUCACGGUUUACCAGAUAUACAGGAACAAAAGAGUAUAUGUGAAGCCUGUCAGUUAGGAAAACAAACUAGAGUUGUUUUUCCUGACAAUGCAUAUAAAGCAUUGUCAAAACUCCAGCUGGUACACACAGAUGUGUGUGGUCCGAUGCACAAUGAAUCUUUGAAUGGUUCAAAGUACUUUCUAUUAUUUGUUGAUGACUAUAGUAGAUUCUGCUGGGUUUAUUUUCUUAAAUCUAAAGUUGAUGUGUUUGCUGAGUUUGUAAGAUUUAAGACAACAGUUGAACUAGAAACAGGAAAUAAACUGAAGAUGUUGAGAUCUGAUAAUAGGGGUGAGUUCACCUCUCAAAAAUUUGAGGGAUAUUUGGCAAAAGAAAUGAUCAAACAUCAGCUAACAGUGCCUUACACUCCACAACAGAAUGGAGUCAGUGAGAGGAGAAACCAAACAUUGAUGGAAAUGGCAAGAUGUUUGCUAUAUGAGAAGAAAAUGCCAUUAAAAUUCUGGGCAGAGGCAGUAAAAACAACAUCCUACCUUCUAAAUCGUAUGACCACAAGAGUGUUGGGAGCUAAGACUCCUUAUGAAAUCUGGUAUGGCUUUAAACCCAAUGUUGAUCAUUUAAAAGUUUUUGGCAGCCCUUGCUAUGUCUUGCAACCUGAAGUUAAGAGAAGAAAACUUGAUCAAAAGGCUGAUAUGGGGAUUCUUAUAGGCUAUAGCACAAAAUCUAAGGCUUAUAAAAUCUAUGAUCUGAAAUCUAAUAAAGUUGUGAUUGCUAGAGAUGUAAAAGUUGCGAAGAAUGGUACAUGGAACUGGGAAGCUGCAUCAGAUGAAGAGACAAAACAGGAGUAUCAAAUUGAACUGGAUGCUACAGAGGAUGAUGAUACUGUCGAUGACAAACCAGUAAAGGGGACAAGGUCCUUAGCUGACAUUUACAGCAGGUGCAAUGUUGCUGAAGCAGAACUAAUAGAUUUUGAAAAAGCUAUCAAUUCACAAGUAUGGAUAGCUGCAAUGAAGGAGGAGCUCACGAUGAUAUAAAAGAAUGAAACAUGGAUGUUGGUUGACAGACCCGUUCACAAAAAGGUAAUUGAUAUGAAAUGGAUUUUCAAAACCAAACUAAAUGCAGAUGGGAGUAUCAACAAGCACAAAGCAAGACUUGUAGUGAAGGGUUAUUCACAAGAGCCAGGUAUUGACUUCAUUGAGAAAUUUGCUCCAGUAUCUAGGCUUGAUACAAUAAAGCUCUUACUUGCUCUAGUAGCACAAAAUGGUUGGCAUAUUUUUCAGUUGGAUGUUAAGUUUGCAUUUCUGAAUUGUGUUCUAAAUGAAGAAAUAUAUGUUGAACAACCUGAUGGCUUUGAAAAGGAGAUCACAUCAAACAAAGUAUAUUUGCUAAAGAAGGCUUUGUAUGGACUUAAACAAGCUCCUAGAGCCUGGUACAGCAGAUUGGAUGGGUAUCUUUUGAGUUUAGGCUUUGAAAGAAGCAUGAAUGAAGUAACUUUGUAUGUGAAAAAUGUUGACAAACAUACUCUGAUCGUAUCAGUAUAUGUAGAUGAUUUAUUGAUUGCAGGAGAUAAGGAGCAACUGGUAGAGGAGUUUAAAACCAACAUAAAGGAUAAGUUUGAGAUGAAUGAACUUGGUUUACUGUCAUACUUCUUAGGCAUGGAAGUAACUCAGUCGGAACAAGGUUAUUUCCUAUGUCAAAAGAGGUUUACAAUGAAGCUACUAAACAAAUUUGCAAUGGAAAAUUGCAAACCAGUCAGUACACCUAUGGUAUUGGGACAAAAGCUAAUGAAGGAGGAUGGAGCUUUCAAAAUUGAUGGAAAAGCCUAAGAAAUUUAGUUGGCAGCUUGUUGUAUUUAAUUGCUACACGUCCAAACAUUGUUUUUGCUGUCAAUUACCUCUCUAGGUUCAUGUAAAGUCCAAGUCAAAUCCAUUUUGUUGCAGCCAAGAGAGUUCUGAGAUAUUUGAAAGGGACCUUAGAGUUUGGAAUGCAUUUUGUGAAAUCAAGUUAUGUUAAACUUGUUGGUUAUUCUGAUAGUGAUUGGGCUGGAAGUGAUGAAGAUAUGAUGAGCACCUCAGGUUAUUGCUUUGCUAUUGGAGGAAGCAUUUUCUGUUGGAACUCAAAGAAGCAAUCAGUAGUUGCACAUUCCACUGCAGAAGCAGAAUACAUAGCAACAUAUGUGGCUGCAAAGCAAUUGAUAUGGCUAAGGAAAAUGCUGAAUGAUCUAGACUUUGAUCAACGAAGUCCCACAAAAUUGUUCUGUGACAAUACAUCAGCAAUAACUAUUUCAAAGAAUUCUGUUUUUCAUGACAAGACCAAACAUAUGAAAAUCAAAUUUCAUACUAUUAGGCAAUUCCAGCAAAAAAGGGAACUAGAGAUGAUAUACUACACUUCAAAAGAGCAAUUAGCAGACCUGUUCACCAAGCCUUUAGCUAAAGAUAGAUUUGAAGAUCUAAAUGAGAGGAUAGGAAUGUGCAGCUUUGGAACCAAGGAGGAGUGUUGAAGUUAUGGCACCAAAGCUGAAAUUAAUGUCUCAACCAUAUGUUAUCUUUCAUUAAUGUCUAUAUUAUCUUUCAUUAAUGUCUAUCUAUUAGUAACAUCAUUAUCUUAAUGUUAUUUAGUGAGUUUUUACUUCUUUAGAUAUGAAACUUAUUUAGGAUAAGUUACAUGACUCUUUAAAUGAAAGAGUUUAUGUUAUUUAUGUUUCUUAAUUUUGUUGUGAUUGAUUUCAUCUAUAAAUAAGAGUUAAGGGAUGGCAGUAACCUAUAGAAAAACAUUCUGCUCUUUGUUCUUAGUUACAAGUUCUUUAUUCUUUGUUUUUCUAAUUAUCAUUAACAUUCAGUUCUUUAUAUACCUAUUAUCAACAGUUGCAAGAUGUUUAGCUCCAGAUGAAUCGAUACAAUCAGAAAAGGAAGCACUGAUCAUCAGAGAGGUUUAAGAAAUUUGUUGAGGGAAAUCGGGAAAUCAAUGGUAUAAUGAAAUGAGAUUUGGAAGAGAAUGUUACGGUAGCAAAGAUUAUUGUAUUGUUUGAGAAGAAGGAAGUUGCUAGGAAGAAAGCCACAAACUUUACCUACCAAGGACUAUAUUACAAGAUACAAGUUGCUCGACACCUCUAAUUUGCUUUUCUUUUGUCUAGCGCUGCAUAUAAUUAAAAUCUUCAACAAAAGAAUCAGAAGCUAAUUGCUGACUGAGUUAACGUGUAGACCCACCCCAUUCUUGAAACUUUGAAAAAGCAGACCUGAAAAUGUAAGAGCCUGAAUCUUAGCUUCAAGAGCUGUAAGUACUACGUUGGGAUUGUUGCAAAUUAUUGACCGUCAUUAUCUGAUUCACUCCAACUUCCAUUCCCUAAAAAUUUAACGAAGAACAUCAUUAGCCAAAAUAAAAAAUAGUGCUUAUUAAUGUAACUAUAUUAAAAAUAUUGUAAGCAUAUUAUAUAGAAAAUAUUGUAAUUAUAUUUGUGUAUUAUAACCUUUAUCAUUAUUAUUAUAUAUCAUCAUAUACAUAUACACAUAUAUAUACACACACGCACGCAUAUAAAAGUUCACUAAUCAAUAGGUUAAACAUCCUAAUUAUUUUCAAUUUGAUAUCAAAGUUUUCUACCAUGAACUCUUUUCUCUCUCUCUCUUGCUGCCGGGCUUCUCUCUGUUUUUCCUAAAUGGAUUCUACCGCUGCUGCUAGGGGUGAUCAUUUUCGGCAAAAUGAAAAUGCAAAAUGGGAUGAGGGGCGUACCUGCUUCUAAAAACGGCGAAGAUGGUUACAGCGUGGUGUUGCCUCUCGUCUACUAAAGACCUUUCCUUCUGCUUUUCUUUGUUCUGUGCUAACCGUCUGCUUUCGUUUUCCAACAGCUUUUGAGAUGAUGAAGGAACGAAGAAGAUGAUGAAGACGCUGGCUGGAUUUAUUUUGACUGAUUUCUAGGUUGUUCUUUUUCUGCAGGAACGAAGGCAAUGUUGUUCCUCUGCUUUUCUCUCCUUCUCUUCUCUGUGUAUAUUUUUUUGCUCUUUUUUAUUCGCUCUAUUUUUGCUCUCUUUCUGGGUCUGUUUCUUGUCAGCUCUCCCCUGUUUCAUUCUUCCCCUCUUUCCUCUGUUUCGGUUCAUCCUUUUAUAGAGCUCUAGAUGCUUGCCCCCAACUAGUCUUGCCUUUGCAUGCUGUUAAACAAUCCACGAACGAGAUCGUGGGCAAGAGACGUGGUCCACGAUUCAGACCAAAAUCACUGCACCCUUUCCAACUCCCUUGUUGAAUCAGGAUGAAGAAGACGAAUACGACUGUUCCACUUAGCAACGGUGUCGUUUCAGCAGAAAUGGACAUUUUUAUUUUCACCCCUGAACUUUUGGAAAUUUAACAAUUGGGUCCCUGGUAUCAUUAAUCAAACAAUUCCAAGUUCAAUUAACUUUUAAAAUUUAACAAUUAGAUCUUCAAUUUCAUUAAUCAAACAAUUUUCAGUUCAAUUAAGUUUCUAAACUUUUAAUUCAUAUUAUCUUGGCUUAAAUUUCAAUUUAUUUUUAUUUUUAUUAUUUCACAUAUUUAUUUUUUAAUAAAAUAGAAGGAGUUAAAAAUUGGAUUAGGACACCACCACUGACACAAAAAUCUAUACUUUUUAAAAUAAAAAAAAUGAAUUCCUGAACCUAGUAGAAGAACUGUGGCAAAAAAAGCUUAAGGAUUCCAACCCCAGCACAUGAAUGAGGAGAGACUAGUGAUGGGAAUAUCCUUGUUGAUUUAAAGGACUAUUUUCAUCAUUCAUGUCGAAAAUAAUUAUGUUUUGCACAUGAUUUUUAGAUUACCAAUACUCAAACUCUACAAAGGGACGAAGGACAUCCUUUGCAUUAGGAUGCUCCCACUCUACUACUGACUCCCACCAUUCUUUUGGAUAUACUAUGAUUUCUUCAAGAGAAGGGGGAGGAGAUGGCUGGCCAUUUUCAAGCAACGGAAGACAAAUUGCCAUCCUCUUCAGCUUCUCACAAUGCAUUACACUAAUAGUUUCAAGAGAAUUGCAAGUCAGUUUUGCACUGCAAAUGCUUUUCAGUUCUGGUAAACCAAACAAUUCCAAACUUCUUAACUUUGGGAGAAUGAAUCCCGUGAUGGAAUUGGAGGUGCUGCUUUCUUCAUCUGUUGUUCCUACUAUCUCCUCCAUUUUCUCACAAUCACGAACAUAAAUGUCUUCCAGGUUUACGAAGUUUGGCAGCAACACAAGUGGGAACAACUUCUUCAUAUUGUUACAUCCACCACAAUAAAACUCUUUAAGACCAGAAAACGUACCAUUAUAUGAUGGCAAUCGUGGUGGAGUAUAGCAGAACCAAGAAGAUGAAACCAAGCUCUCCAUGUUAUUGCAAUCCCGAAUCAUGAAUGCCUCCAGUUCAGUUGCAUUCUCUAAUGACAAAACAUCAUAUAAACUUCUUGCAUCGAUGCGUUCACAAACCAGUCUUUGAAUACCAUUAAAGAACUUGACCUUAAAAUCUCCAUCUCCGUUGAUACUCAAAUUACCCAACCCAACUGUUUUGGUAAUAUCAUCAAUGUUUGCAUCCAUGUUUGCCCAAUAAAAAUCAUCCACCAUUCCUACUAAAAUUUUAUAUGUGCUUAAUGAUUGAAUCCCAUCCCGAGAUCUGAGAUACUCCACGAAGUCAGAGAAACCUUCGAAAUGGCAUUCCAAAGUUUCCAAAUUUCUCAAGGAUCCUACUUCCUUUCCUUUAACUGUUAUCGGAGCAUAACAGUUCCCCAUAAACUCUUCUAGUACAAAGACUUGCAGGUGAGAGAGGUUUGGUAAUAUCCCACUAGGAAACUCCUUUUCACCACAUCCAUUCAUUCUAAGAUGCCUCAGGUUGGUUAGGCAUUCCAUUCCUUGCGGCAUCUUUUCAAGUGUAGUGUCAAAGAGAUCCAACCUCUUCAGUGCCCUGAGCUUCUUUAAUGAUGGAACAUGUCUUAAGUUGUAACAAUAACUGAGCAAUAAUGCAGUGAGACUCACCAAAUCAGAGACAGAGUCUGGCAAAUUUUCAAUACCUGUCCCAGACAGAUUGAGGACCUUGAGCCCAUGCAAUUGCUUGAAAAAUGAAUCACCAAUAAAUCUCAAACCGCCAUUAGCACAUAGAAAUAGAGUUGAUAGAUAGGGACACCUUGGUGAAUAGCUGGAAGGAAUUUCUUUGAUCUUGUUUCGUAUUAGUGAGACUCGUGUGAGAUUCUCCGUCCACUCCUCUGCAUCUGGCAACUCUUUUAAUUGCGCACCUGCUUUAACCAUGACUUGAGAGUUGUCUUGUAGUAUAUGGAUGGCCAUGUCCCUAAUCAAGUCAUGCAUCUUGACACCAUACUCCAUUUUAGCACUUUCCAAUAAGCAGACAUAUUCAAGUCUAUUAAGCAUCGUGUGGCCCUCGUCAAAUGCAUCUCCCCUGCUCCUCUUUCCUUUAAUUAUUCCCUCAUCUAUCAAAUAACCUAUCAACUCCUCCCUUUCAAUCACACCAUCUUCAGGAAAUAAUGCACAGUACAAGAGACAUUGUUGUAGUGCUAAAUCAUCUAACCGAUCAUAACUAAACCUCAAUAACUUGAAUACUUCCUUGUCUCUAAAUUCUGAUACUCUCAAUUUCUUCAAUGUAGUUCUCCACUCAUGUAGGUCAUUCACUCCCCUCAAGCUUCCUGCCACUGUUAUAAUUCCCAAUGGUAAACCAGCACAUUCCCUUGCAACAGCUUUUGCAAUUCCUUCCACUUCUGGUGAAAGUGCUACAUCACCUCCAAAUUUCUCCAUGAACAAAGUCCAAGCUUCUUCAUUAGAAAGUGGCUUCACUUUGAUUUUGUGUUUGUGCUGGCAAGCCAUCCGAUGACAAACCGUUUCUGAUCGAGUUGUCAUAAUCAGUUUGCAUCCUUCCAAUUUUUCAGGAAUUCCCACUUUAUGUAGCUCAAAAUUGUUCCACAAAUCAUCUAAAAUGAGAAUCCAUUUUUGUUUCUUCCUUAAUUCUUCUGACAAUUUAGCAGCUCUAUGCAAAUCAUCAUCUUCACUUGGAAGGUCUAAAUUAAGACGUUUAGCAAUAAGAUUCUGCAAUCUAUUAAUGCUAAAAUCUUGAGACACAGUCACCCACCAAAUAUGAUCACAAAAAUCUAGUCUUUGUAGAAGCUUAUUAUAAAUAUGUUGCAGUAUUGUUGUUUUACCAACUCCCCCCAUCCCAUAAAUGCCAAUAAUUGGGACUUCACCGUCCAUUAACAAAGACCAUAGCACCUUCGUAUUUUCUUUAAAUGCUUGGCCCACUGGCUUUAUAGAGCUAGUAGGUAAUGGAACUCCUCUAGUCUUGUUGCAUUUCAGACUUUCAGAAGAUCUAGCUCCUGCGCCAGCGUGCACUAAUGAUCUUCCACUACUCUCCACAUCCUCCUCCUCCACUGGUUCUGUCCUCACUCCAAUGAUUUCCUGCUCAUCAUGCAUAGUUACGUCAUUGUUUACUGAUGGAGCAGAAGGUUGAUCAUAACAUCUUCCAAUGUGAAGACAAAAUUGGGAUGAAUCUCCUCGCGGCUCCAGAAGCUGCACUUGCUCUGUUCUUGGUAUACUCUCAAAUGCAUCAUGCUGAAAAGAUCCUUCACCAGUGUUUUCCAUGCCAUUUUCUACUUGUAGAUGCGACUGAAUUCUCUCUUCUCCGGGACCUUGUUCCAUGCCCUGAACUCCCACUUGUAUCCUUCCAGCACCCCCUGCCAAAUUGCCAAGUACUGCAUUGCUUUGUUCCAACGCUCGAUCCACUGGUUCUGUCCUCCGUCUGCUCUCGAGUGCCCCUUCGGAAACUCUAUCUUCUUGUGCUCUCAUUCCGUUCAUGCUUACUUCGUCGUUUCCUGCUAUUGCAUGAGAAGAAAUCCUCUCUUCCCCUACCCCGGGUUCUACAACCUGAACUUCUCUUUGUACCCUUCCAAUACCUCCUACCAUGUUAAUCUCAAUGUUUUGUUCUUGUGGACAAGUUGAAAUUCCACAAUCAUUAACAUUGACUGAACUUGCUGUGAUUUUUUGCCUUUUGUUGCCACCACACAUAGCUUGAAAGGCUGCUUCUUGAACUUCUUUAGUCACCCCACGACAAAUGGCAACACCGUGCCCUCUCUCUCCUGAUAAAUGCCAUUUGAUCCUUGAAAUGGAAGUUUUAAUGGCAUAUGUAUGUGGACAAAACAUACACUUCAUGCUACCAUCAUCAGCCCCAUCUUCAACAUAAUUCCAAAACGGAUCAUUUGAUCCAACCAUUUCGACCUAUAGAAGAAAAAAAGAGUCAAAUAUAGAAUAAAAAUCGGUCAAAAUAUGGAAUAAAAAUUAACGGAUCAAGUUACCCUUAUUUUGCUAUUAAAAUUGAUAGUUAGUUUAUAGCACAGUCAAAGGGGAAAAAAAGACGACGAUAAUUCAGUUAUACUUCUUACUUGCUGAGUAUUUAAACCCCUAUUUUGACUUUGCAGGGAAGUGCCAAGGCCAGGAUUUGAGGCAUUUGGCCUAGCUGUUUGAUUUUGCAAUCCUCGGACUUGGAGGUUAUCCAUAUGUGACCUGUAUAAAAAUGAAGUGAUCAUAUUAUAAAACCUUUCGAUAAUUGGUAGUAUCUAAUUAUCAAAAGGGUAUUAAUACGUAGUGUGUUAAAACACAACAGCUAGAGGUCAAUCAGUACCUAGUAGAGUUGCCAAAGUGCCGAGGCACGAUGUUCUCUUGGUUGCAUAAUUGUCUAUGUUAAGGAAUACAGACAGCUUGAUCGUCUUGUCCUUGAUUAGAAAGAAAUGGACUCCUGAAUUCAAAAUCAUUCGCAAGCAAUAUGAAGCAUUGCAAACUUAUGAUUAUCUUGCUGGGUUCAUGUCCAAGCUAUGAUGUUGCUUUCCUAAUUGAAAAACUAAUUUUUUCUAACAGAAAAUACUAAAUAUGAAAAAUUGGAUACCGGAGAGGAGGAAAAGAAGGUUCAGGUUGAAUGAAGCCACCAUGUUGUGAAGUGGUUGCGUUCGGUGUCAUAUAGUCAUGCCCCGGCUGAUUUGGUUCAGUUUGCGGCCAAUUUGGUUCAUUUUGGUUGAUCCAUGAUGAUGAUGUUCCAUCCAAACCUCCCAUUGUUGUCUGUUUGUUAAACAAUAAACAAUUUACAAACACUAGCCAAUUCAAUGGACAUUGUAGCAAAUUGGAGUAGGCAUGAGCACUCACCAUGGUUUGAGGAAAUGAAGGUGGAAACACAGUUGUUUGUUGAAUACUAUCGUUGAUCACAUUGUUAUCCACCGCCAUGUUCUGUCCAACAUGAUCAUUGCAUAACAUGAAGCUUUGGUUGCCUGGAACCUCCGGUGGCGACCUGCUUCCAUAGUCAGUAACAUUAUUGUUUCUUGGGAAUAAACUAUCGAAGAAUAACUAAAUUGCAAGCAAUCAUCUUCUGAUAAAAUAUGCUUAAGAAUGACGUACGAGAGAAGCUCAGACAUAUUGAAUGUAUCUUCUUCUGAUUGAAAACCCAGCUGAUCCCAUGUCAUGUUGUCAACCUCCUCCAUAGAAGAUGGUUGGAACCCUUCCAUCUGACCAGAAAAGAUCAGAAAAGACAAAAAAAACUGAGGUCUAAAAAGAACAGAAAGCACAGAUCAGAAAAGAAUAUAUAUAUCCCAUUUUUGUCUGUUUGUUUAACAAUAAACAUUUUGAAGAUGCUCGAGAUAAAUUGAUACACGAAAACAUAAAACUUUUUGAUCCAAUGGGUGAUACAAACACUUGCUAAUUCAAUGGACAUGGUAGCAAAUUGGAGUAGGCAUGAGUAAUCACCAUGGUUCGAGGAAAUGAAGGUGGAAACAGAGUUUUUUGUUGAAUACUAUCGUUGAUCACAUUGUUAUCCACCACCAUGUUCUGUCCAUCUUGAUCAUUGCAUAAUAUGGAGCUUUGGUUGCCUGAAACCUCCGGUGGCGACCUGCUUCCAUAGUCAGUAACAUUAUUGUUUCUUGGGAAUAAUAGGAUAAACUGAAGAAUAACUAAAUUGCAAGCAAUCGUCUUCUGAUAAAAUAUGCUUAAGAAUGACGUACAAAAGAAGCUCAGACAUGAAUGCAGCUUCUAGUGAUUGAAGAUCGAACGGAUUCGAUGUCACGUUGACAUCAUCCUCCAUAGAAGAUUGUGGGAACCCUUCCAUCUGACCUCAAGUACAAGACGAUUAGUAUGUACUGAGGUGGAAAAAGAACAGUAAGCUCAGAUCAGAAAAGAAUAUAUAUAUUAAAAAAAUAAUUAUGACUUGCUUAUUUAUUAAAGAAAUAAGGAUGAAAAAUAGGAAAUAUAAAUGUUGUUGUUAAUGAUUUAACCCUUUGUAUUUAAAGCUAAAUUAUCAUACUCAAAUUCUAUCCUAAAACUCUAGAAUGCUAGAAAGAAAAAUGCAGAAGAGGAUAACUGUUGAAGAAAGCAGGGGAAGGAAGGUAGAAGAGCUGAUUUUUUUGACGGGGUGAACAAAAACCUCUUUCAAGUUUCAACUCCUAUUUAUUCAUAAUUUGGGAAGCAAAACAAAUGCAAGAUUAUUUUUGUUAACUACAAAAAUCAAUUCCCUCUAUUUUAACCCUUAAUUAGUUACACAUUAUAAAACACACACAAAAAUAACAAUAGGAUAUUGUUAAUUCAUUGAAUCAUUGUAAGAAAAAAAAAAGUUGAAAAAUAUUGAAUAAAAAUCAAUGGCAGUCCCAUUAAUUGGAAAAGAAAAGGGUGAAUCUAAAAUAAGGAGUUAAAAACAGAAAAUUAAGAAUCUUGAAAAGACGAAAACAAUGAAUUCAGUAUUAAUUUAGUAUGAACUCUCCACAAGGCAUGGAUUAUAAAAUCCGAGAAAAAGAUCAAUUUAUUUAUCAUGGAUUCCUUUAAAGAUUCAAACCAUAUAUAGUUACAUAUAUACAAACAAAAACACCAACAAGAUGAAGAAGAUGAAGUACAAAUAAACAAAUAAUUAACCUGGAUUCCUUCAAAGACUCAAACCAUAUAUAGUUAAAUAUAUAAAAACAAAAACACCAACAAGAUGAAGUACAAAUAAUUAACCUGGAUUCAAGUGCUGGUUCGCUAGCUUGAGCAGUAUUCAGCCAAAAAAAAAAUGAAGAGAAAUCACAUAAAUCUAGUUCGCACUGGUUAGAUGUGGAAAGGAAAAUAGGUAGAAGAUGAUGAGUACGUCCUGAGGAGUUAGUUGUUUUUUUAAAAAGAAAAAUAAUUUUUUUUUUAUUUUUUUAUGGUUUUGAUAUGUUGUUAUUAAAAAUAAAAAAGAUAAAUUUAAAAAAAUAUUUUUUUAAUAUAUUUUUAAAUAAAAAAUAUUUUUUAAAAAAUAUUAUAUAUCACAAUUUUAAAUUCAAUCUAAAAAUUAAAAAAAUAAUUAUUUAACAUGAAACGAAUCUGAUUAUGUAACAAUAGGGAAAAAAUUAGAAGACAAAUUAAAGGUUUUCAGUCGAGACCAUUACUUAUCUGUACAAAGACUCCAUCCUUACUUUUAAUAAACAAAACCUCGUUUUUAAAAAAAAAACAAAAAAUAAAUAAAUAAACAAAAUCUCGUGCUAGUUUUGGUGGCUAGUGUUUUUCCGUGCUGGAUUAAUUUUUUUAAAUAUAAAAAGAAAUGUUAAGAGUGAAAAAAGUUUUUAAAAAAUGAUUGGAGGUACAUGCACAGUUAAGUAAUUAAUUAAAAAAACAAACACAAAAGCAUCAAUCAAAGAUAUAAAAACAACAAAAAAACAAAAAAAAAAAAAAACUUAAAAGUAUUAGUUAAUAACUAAAUAGAAAAAAAUUUAAUACUGAUAAACUAAAUUAAAUAAAAAAAAACUUAUAAGAAGAAAAAAACUAAUGAAGAAAAAAAAAAUCUAAAUUAACUGGGUUAACCCGUCAAAUUUAAGAUCCGUGUCAUGAAAGUCUUAUAACUAAAUAGAAAAAAAUUUAAUAUCAACAAACUAAAUAAAAAAAUUAAUUAAAAAGAAAAAAAAGGCAUCAGGCUUUUCACUGUGGACUGCACUGUGCAGUCCAGAAUGAAAGGCACAAAAAAAGCAAAAAAAAAACUAAAGGCAUCAGCCUUUUCACUGUGGACUGCAUUUAAUAUUAAAAGAUAAAAUUGGAAGAACAAAACUAAUGAGAAAAAAGAAAAAAAAAUUGAAUCAACUGUGUUAACUCGCCAAAUCAAGUUAACCCAUCAAACUUAGGAUUUGUGUCAUGAAAGUGUGAUAACUAAAUAGAAAAAAGAUUUAAUAUUAAUGAAAUAAAUUAAAAAAAUAUUAAUUAAAAAUAAAAAAGCAAAGAGAAAAAAAACCUACAUGAAGAAAAAAACUAAUGAAGAAAAAGAAAAAAUAAUCUGAAUCAAUUGGGUUAACCCGUCAAACCUGGGAUCCGUGUCAUGAAAGGCUAAUAAUUAAACAGAAAAAAUUUAAUAUUAAGAAACUAAAUUUUAAAAAAAAAAUUAAAAACAAAAAAAAAAGACAAAAGAUAAAAAAAGAAACUAAAGGUAUCAGCUUUUUCAAUAUGGACUGCAUUGUGCAGUCCACAGUAAAAGACUUAAAAAGAAAAAAAAAAAAAAAAAAACAAAAGCACACGCCACGGGUUAAUUUUUUUUUCUUGCAUAAAAAAUAUCAAAAAAGGCUAAGAUCUAAGAGUAUUAUAUCUUUCUGCAAAAAUAUGUCCAAGAGCCUUUGCUCUAGCUGCAACGCUUGACCCAAGAGUAAUAUUUAUAAUAUUAAUAAUAAUAUUAAACUUACAUAACUCAAGUUUAAGUGAGUCUGACUGCAAAACCAGACCCAAGAGCCUUAGAUGUGGGUAUGACUGUAAGGUUGUGUCAUAAAAGCAUGAUAAUUAAAUAGAUUAAUUAAAAAGAAAAAAACAAAGAAAAAAACCAACAUGAAAAAAAAACUAAUGAAAAAAAGAAAAAAAUCUGAAUUAACUGGGUUAACCCUUCAAACCAGAUUAACCCAUCAAACCUAAGAUUCGCACCAUGAAAGUUUGAUAACUAAAUAGAAAAAAAAAAUUGACAGGUUUACCCGUCAAGCCCGGGAUACGUGUUAUGAAAAUAUGAUAAUUAAAUAGAAAAAAAUUUAACAUUAACAAACUAAACUAAACGAAAAAAAAUUAAUUAAAAAGAAAAAAAGCAAAAAAAAAUUAUGUGUUAACUCGUCAAGCCAGAUUAACUCGUCAAAUCCUGAUCUAUGUCAUGAAAGUAUGAUAACUAAAUAAAAAAAUUAACAUUAAUAAACUAAAUUAAAGAAAAACAAAUCAUUAAAAGAAAAAUACACAAAAAAAACCAAAAAAAAACCCUUAAAGGCAUAAAAAACAAAAAAAAAAACAAAAAAAAUUAUAAAAAAAACAGAAAAAAAAAACAGAUGCCUAGAAAAUAUGUUAUAAUAAUAUAGGAAGUAAACGCGGGGACCACCCCAAUUAUGAAACUUAGAAGAAGAUGCCUAGAAAAUGUAAACACAUGAAUAUGAGAAACAAUAACAUACUUUGCUUUUUAAAAUAUUUAUAAUAAUAAUUUUUUUAUUUUUUCAAAUUUAUUUUUAAUAAAAAAAAAAUAAUUUAAAAAGAAAAUAAUUCAAAGUUUUUGAAAAGCAUGUGCUCUAACAAUAACAGAUUAAAUAUGUGAUUAAUAGCAUGUGAUUGUUUUUGUUUUUAGUUGUUUUUCAAAAAAGAUAAAUAGAUUUUUUUUAAUUUUUGUUAUGGUCUUGAAGUGUUGAUAUUAAAAAUAAAAAAAUAAAUCUAAAAAAAUAAUAUUUUAAUAUAUUUUCAAAUAAAAAAUACUUUUUAAAAAAUAUUAUAUAUCACAAUUUUAAAUUCAAUCUAAAAAUUAAAAAAUAAUUAUUUAACAUGAAGUGAAUCUGAUUAUGUAACAACAGGGAAAAAAUUAGAAGACAAAUUAAAGGUUUUCAGUCGAUGCCAUUACAUGCAGUCAAAGACUCCAUCCUUACUUUUAAUAAACAAAACCUACACUCGAUAAUAUGUCCUAGUGUUUUUUGGCCAGUGUUUUUCCGUGGUUGGAUUAAAUUUUUUUAAAUAUAAAAAUAAAAUGUUAAGAGUGAAAAAAGUUUGUUGGCGAUAUUAUUAAACCUGGUCAGGGAAGUUAAUAUUAAAAUCUUUUAAUUUAAUUUUUUAUUUAAUUUAAGUUUUUAAUUAAAUUAUAUGUGAAUUAACUCAAUUUAAAUCGAUUAAUAUCCAAUUGUAACUUAGAAAACUGGUAAAAUAUGGCUUAGCUUUAAAAAAACUUCUAGACAACAAUUUUUUUUAAAAAAUAUUGAAACAAUGAUAGAUUUGAUCGAUCUCGGUCCCUCACGACCUAGGUCAUGGAUUCUAUUGGGUUUAGUAAUUUUUUAUAAGCUUUUUUUAUUUAAUUAUAUGAUAAAAAUAGAUGCUUAUAAAAUUGAGCAUCAUCUCUAAAAUAAAUAUUUAUUUAAGAUUAUGAUAAUCCUAUAGAAAGCAAACAAAAAUAAAUCAUGUAGUCUAUUUCCAAACCAAUCUAAUAUUGAAGGACGAAAUAAAAAAAAUCAAUUAAAAAAAUUAAAAAACAAAAAAAAACAUAUUCGAUCAGUGGGUAAACCUUUCAAACUUAUGAAUCAGGUAACUUGGGCUAGCACAUCAAACCCAUGAAUCAGGUUAUGGACUCAAUUAGGAUUAUAAUUUUUUUAAAAAAUAUUUUUAUUCAAUAAUAUUAUAACAAAAAUAGAUAAUUGUAAAAUUAAACACCAACUCAAUAUAUAUAUAUUCGGCCCAAAUAUGAAAUAGACAAAAAAAACAAAUUUAAAAAAAUGAUAACAAAAAAAAGGAAAGGAAAGGGAAAAAAAAGAACAAAACAAUAUAGAUUACUAUUGUAAUCCAUAUUGAAAUGGGUGUGGGUGAAUAGUGAUUCUCUCAUACCUUUUAGUUUUUCUUUUAAUUAAUAAAUAAAAAAAUACCCCACCAAACCUGAAAAACUAGUAUAAUUUGAGUUAUUUUAACAAACUUGUAAAUCAUGCUAAUCUUAUAAAAAAAUAGAAUAAAAAUUAAUAAAUUACAAAGCUGAAUUAUAAACCAGCCUAUAAUAAAAUAAACAAAAAAAAAUUUUAAAAAACAGAAAAAAAGGCAAAACACCUUGAAUUACGUACUAUUGUAAUUUACAAUGAAAUAGGUGUGGAUAUAUAGUGAUUCUCCCAAACCUCUUUGCUUUUCUUUUAAUGAAAAUUAAUAACCGUAUAAUAUCUGUCAUAACCCAAUUCUGGGUUAUUCCCUAAAAAUCAAUUUCUUUUUCAAAAAUAAAAAUUAAAAAAUAAUAAUAAAGGUUGGCAACGUGGAGAAAGCAAACCGAGAAAUCAAGCUGCAAUUUUGAAGGAAAUUCAAGGCCUAAUUGUACCCCAUUAUACCAAAAACUAGAGAAAAAAAAUACAAAUUCAAGGUCAAAUUAAAUGAUAAUUGGAUGAAUUUGCAUAAAAAUUAAGUCCAAUGACAUAAUUAAAUUUUUUUAAUAGGCCAAUUUGAUUUAAUCAUGGGCCAAAUUGAAUUUUAAUUAUGUUUAAGAAUUAAUUUGGGUCCAAUUGAAGGAUUUAAUCAAGUGCAAGGACUUAAUUAUACUUUAAAUGGGUCAAAUUAAUUUUAUUUGGGGAUUAAUUGGUGAAACAUUAAGUUUGGGAGCCUAAUUUGGGCUUAAUUGAGAAGAUUGGAAUUUUAAGAGAUCAAAUUUAAUUUUUACCAAGUUAAUUGAUUGAAAUUAGAGGCCAAAUUGCAAGAAAAUUGAAGUUUUGGGGUCAAUUAGGGGCUAAAUUGAAGCAAUUUGUAGCAAAGGACCAAUUUGCAAAAGGUGCCAAACUAUAGGGGCUUAAUUAACAAAAAUCGAGGGUAAAAUUAAAGAAAUUAAAAGUUUAAUGGUCAAUUAGGGGUUCAAUUGAACAAAUUCGAGACCAAGGACCUUAUUGCAAUAGGCACGUAACUUGCUUGCAUGCAAAUGAUCUUCUGCAAUUUCUCUACAACCCCAUAUGGCCCAUUCAGGCUGAAUGACAACCCAUCGGCGCCGGCGCCGGCCUAAACAGGCCAAUUUAUGCAGCCUUUUUCUUCAGAUUUGAUAACUCAGGAUGCCCACUUUGAGCCAACGGUUGGGAUUCUUCCCAACUGAAUCAAGUGCUGAAAUUUUUCUCUAGUGUAGACAAGAUUGUCCUUUUUCACCGCCUAUAAAUAGAGGUGGAUUGAUGGCUUGAGGGAGGGAAACAAUUGGGUUCAAAGUCGGCCAAAAACUAGCCCCUCUGCCCCCCGUUUCUGCAGUUUUUUCUCUCCCUCUCUCUCUCCGCCGUUCCAGCCACCAACCAGGGCCACCACCAGCUUCUCCACCACAGGUAGCUAGCCCAACCACAAGUCAGCCACCCCCACGCCUAAAACAACCACCAUUUCUUCCUCUCUCUCACUUCUACAGAAGUCUUCCUCUUCUCCUCGUGAACGACUUCGGCCACCGUUCCUCGCAAAAACGCCGCUGAACCACCAGCUAAGCCUCUUGAUCACGGCCGAGACUCCUGCUUCGAGUGAGCCGCUCCUCCGUCAACCUCCAUUUUCCGCAACCAUUUAGGUUGCAUGCAGAACGUCUACAAAUAAUUAACAUUGCCUUUGGGCCGAGUCGGUGUUGGCCCAGCCCAAAAAAAUUUUAAAAAAAGAAAAAUAUUAUGGGCUGAGAUCGGCCCAACCAUUUUGGACCGAUGUUGGCCCACCUUUUCUGGGGCUGAGCUCGGCCCAGCCCACAGGUUUUAAUAAUAUUUAAUUAAUAUAUAUAAUAUUAUAUUAUAUUAAUUUCUUUUAAAAAACGAAAAAAUUCCAAAAAAAAUAAAAAAUCCUUUGAAAAAAAUUAUGAUUUUAUCACAUGUUUUUUUUUUUGUUAUCAAUUUUGCAUAAUAUCGGGUUGUAUAUUUACACUGUAAAAUACAAAUCCGAUAUUAAAAUACCUGGUUUUCUCUGAAUUGUUUUUUAAAAAAUUUCAAAACAUUUUCAAAAAGAAAAAAUAUUUUGUUGCAUACGGCUAAAUCCUAAAAUUUUUUCAAAUAUAUUUUUCGUAAUAAAUAGAAAAUUGCAUCUUUUUUAUGUUUUAAAAAAUCUAAAAAUAGAUAUCGUAACAAUUUGGCUACCCAUCACUGUAUUAGCCAUUCCUUUCCUUGCCUGUUCUCCUUCUUCUCCUUCUUCUUUUUUUUUUCUCUGGCGCAAUUGCCAACAAAUACCCCUUUUUCUAAAAGAGGCAGCCCUCCUUUUUCAUCACGUCUCCAUGAUUGUGUCAAAAACCUAAAUUAUAGGACUUCUUAGGCAGCCACGUACAUGUUUUAGGAGUUCUUUUUUCGAAAUCCUCAUUAGAGGCUAAUUUGUAGCCCUUUAAGAUACCUUUCCAACGCGUCAAGAAUCACUGCAAUCUGAUAUGCGAGUGGAAAUUUGUGAUUAAAAUACUUAAGUGUAUGGUUUCAAGAAAAAUUUGUGAUUAAAUUUGUGAUUAAAUUAGCAAUGUAAUCCAGGCUGUUUCCAAGAAAAAUAACAUUACUACUUUUAGUGUAUCCAGGCUGGUUUCAAGUGAAUUUCACGACUCCUUUGAACUUGAUUGGGCAUUGACUUGCUCUUCUAUAAACUCUGAAAUCAAACAUAAAGACCUGUUCAAGAGUAUAUCAAAGUAAAUAGAAAUUCAAUUCAAAAAUUCACAUUAAUUUCUAUUAUUUCUAUUCACAUUUUAGCAUUUUAUUUCAAUAAUAGAGCAUUUUAUUUCAAUAAGAGUAUAUCAAUUAUUUUUCAAAAUAUUUUUUGUUUAACAAUACAUCAAAAUAAUAUUUAAUUAUUAUUUUAAAAAAUUAUUUUUAAUAUCAAUACAUCCAAACAAUUUCAAAACACAAAAAAAUUAAUUAAAUUUAAAAUAAAAAAUUAAUUUUUUUAAAAUACUUUUAAAACAUAAAAACAAACAAAUAUUAAAAUAUACUUUCAAACACUUAUCAAAACCAGAGGGAGCUUCACUGCAGUAGAAAACUUCAACAUAGCUUGAUUUGCUAUCCAAUCUGCACACCAGUUGGAUAGCAAUUUCUUUUCAUAACAUUUACCAAUGUAAAAACCUUUUACUUAUUUUUAGUUUUAAUAUCAAAUUCAGUCUUGAAUAUUUAUCUUCAAAAUUUCACUUAUUUUUAAUCAAUUAAAUUGAACAAAAUCAACUCUACAUUGAAUUGUUUUUUCUUCUUAGAUCACAAGAGCUCCAUAACAAGCUUAUUGAAAUAAAUUAUCAAAUGAAAUUAAAAACAAAAAUGCUUUAUAAAAAAAAAAAAAAACAGAGAGACAUCUACCUUGUUUUCUCUAUUGGUACAUGGUAAAAGUCUGAGCAUAUUUAUUUAUUUAUUUAUUUUUAUUUUUAUUUUAAAAAUAGUUAUUUCUACCGUGAAGAAAUCAAGAACGAUUCAAAAGAUUCUGAAGUUCAUAAUUAGAUAAAUUAGCAGAAAGGACAAAAAUCCUAUGAACUAGCCCAACAAAUCAUACCCAGAGAAGCAAAAGCCAGAAACAACCUACCUCAAUUCUUGCUCCACCUAUUGCCCACUUGGAAUUAUACAUCAUCCAAAUUCCAGGGCAAGUAAUUGGUUGGAAUUGUUCUUUGAGGAGUCAUCUCAAAAUUGAAAAAUAAAAACAGAAAAUAGAUUUUCAACAAAAUCAUGCUUUUUAUUUAUUAUAAACACUACAAGAUUUAACAGUUUUACCGACGGAAUUUUUCCGUCGGUGUAAGACACAUAUUCCGUCGGUAAUUAAUUUACCGACGACAUCACCGACGGAAAUGCUCCAUCGGUGAAUCCUUUAUCGGUAAUUUUUUAUCCGUCGGAAAUAAAAAAUAAAAUUACUCGCUUCAUUUCGUCGGUAUAUCCCUCGGUAAUAAUAUUUUUAUUACCAACGGAAUUACCGAUGGAAAUUCCAUCGGUAAUUCCGUCGGUAAUUAUUAAAAAAAAAAUAAAAAAAAAUUCAUUUUAUAAAAUUAUAAAAUAAUUAAAUUAACAUAAAUCAACACUGUAUAAUAUAUACUCAAAAUGCUUGAAAAAAAAAUAAGAAAAUCAACUCAAACAAAUUUGCAACAAAUAAAUAAAAUGAAAAAAUAAAUUCAACUAAAAAAAUUCAUAUGAAAAAAAUGAAGUUGCAAUUGCUAAAAAUUUAAAAAUCCUAUAAAUAAAUCAACUAAAAAUUAAUCUCAUAUGAAAAAACAAAUCUCACAACAACAUUUAUACAAUUAUUAAGAACAAAAACAAUUAAAAAUAAAAUAAAAAACAAAUAUAGUGAAAAAAAUCAUGAAAAAAGAAGAAAAAUCUUACUUUAAUGUAGUUGCGAGUGAAGCUAAGGAGAGAAAAAAAUUUCGUAAAGCAUAUUAAUUAAAAAAAACUAAGAGGAUAAAAGAAGAAAGAAGAAGAAGACAUACCCGAGCAUGGAGAAAAAGAGAAGGAGAUGAGGAGAGAAAAGAAGAGAAAGAAAUAGAUAUUGAUGUUUUUUCAUAUAGUGAAGAAGAAGAAGAAGUAGAAGUAGAAGUAGAAGAAUAAGAAGAAGAAGUAGAAGAAGAAGAAGAAAUAAGUCUGUCUCUUGUGAAAUAAGGGAUUCGGGCUUUUUAUUGGGGCGCGUUAGCGACGGAUUUACCGAUGGAUAAUUGAAUAUUAAUAUUUUUUAAUUAUUCCGUCGGUAAUUCCAUCGGUAAUAUUUAAUUUAAAUUUUCAAUUUCGUACAAAGUUUUCAGAAACCGCCAACAAUUAUCGACGAUUUUUCAGUCUGUCGGUGAUUCCGUCUAUAAUAUUUAAAUGAAAAUUUUAAAUCAAUUGAAUUUUUUCAGAAAACCGCCAAAUAACACUGACGACUUUUCAAUCCGUCGGUGAUUUUGUCCGUAAAGAACAACAAUUAACAGUGCAAUUGGAAAGUGAACAGUUCUGGAGCUCUCUGGAAAAUACCGACGGAUUUUUUCCGUCGGUGAUUCCCUUUGUAAUUGACAUGAUGAACAAUGUAAACAAGGUUACCAACGGAUUUACCGACGGAAUUCCGUUGGUAAAUCCUGACACGUCAUCAUUUUUUUUUGUUUUGUUUUAAUUUUUUUGUCCCUCCGUAAUUCCCUCGGUAUAUACCGAGGGAAUAUGUCCGUCGGUAAAAUCCCUCGGAAAUUUACCGAUGGAAAUAUUCCCUCGGUAUUUCCGUUUGUAUUUAUCGGUUUUCUGGUAGUAAAAUAUAAAAUAAAGUUGCAGUGAAGUUGGGUCCAAUCUUAAAUGGUCCAAACAUUAUUGUUAGAAUGCGACAGUCCAAUCUUAAAGGUUUUCAACACAAUCAUGCUUUUUUCCUUGUAGCAUGUGCCAUGUCUCAAGCUUCUGUGAUCCAAGAAUCAGGCUAUUUCAGUUUACUAGAGAGAGGGCAGAAAGCCUUCAUUGGGAAAUAACUUCAAAUUCUGGGGGUAGAAAAGGAACGCAAUCAAGCAUUAGCUUCAAACAGUAAGGGGGAGCUUAGGAAACUUCAACAUCUGCUAUAAUUUGGGUGUAUUUGAGAAUAAGAUGCAGUUUUUUUAAAUUUUGAUUUUUUUGAUUUUUUAAUGUUUUUAUAUCGUUUUGAUGUGCUAAUAUCAAAAAUAUUUUUUUUAAAAUAAAAAAUAUUAUUUUGAUGUAUUUCUAAAUAAAAAAUACUUUGAACCGCACCUGUUACCACAAUCCCAAAUAUACUCUUAUGAUUUGUUAUCCAAUCUGAACACCAGUUUUCCAUUAAUACAAAGAUUAUGUUUUUUUGUUGUUCUAGAAUUAUCAACCAAUAACUUUUUAUAUUUUUCUGAGUUUUUAGUGAUUUUUUUUUAUCUCAUAUUGAUGAACUAAAAGUUAAAUAAAAUAAAAUUUUAUAUCAAAACUAAAACUAAAAAUCAAAAUGCAAAAAAAAAAAACUUUAGGGAUCGAAAUUUUAAAAAACACACCUAGGCUACUUUCUGGUUUCAAUAUCAUAUUUGAUCUUGGAAGUUUCAAUUAUUUUUAAUGAAUUAAAUUGAACAAAAUUUUGCCAAAUCAAAAGGUAGCAGCGUGAAGCCUAGGAAAUUCUACUACUUCUCGAGAUAAUAGUGACUUUGAUGACAAUAUUUUUUAGCUAGGCCAUGAAAUGUACAUGUGCUAGUGAUUCGUGUUAGUCCAAAUCCGUGCCAAGACAUUUCCAGUCUCUACGAGAAUAUCCUCCCAUUAAAUUUUAACGUGUAAAAGACAGCCGAAAGACUUCCCAGAUUGACUGCAAGGAAUCAAGAAUUGUCCAAUAAGUUGCAGUGGAAAAUUAAACGUAGACUUAGCUUUUUGAUGGUUAAAGUCUCCCCGUUGUGUCUUUCACGAAGGCUUUGGAUGAGAUUAUAGAGAGAAAUUAUUGAACAUUCCGUAGAAAUUUCAGGGGUCAUUGAAUUAAUGGGACCAUUGAACUGGUGUUGAUGAAUAAGCCAAAAGUCCAAGAAUCGAGUGGCCAAGAGAGAAAUUUACGUGAUUUUGUUUGUUUGUCCAAUAAGUUGCUGGUUUAUAUUGCAGUGGAAAAUUAUACGUAGACUUAGCUUUUUGAUGGUUGAAGUCUCCCCGUUGUGUCUUUCACGAAGGCCUUGGAUGAGAUUAUAGAGAGAAAAUAUUGAGCAUUCCUUAGAAAUUUCAGUGGUUAUUGAAUUAAUGGGACCAUUGAACUGGUGUUGAUGAAUAAGCCAAAAGUCCAUGAAUCGAGUGGCCAAGAGAGAAAUUUACGUGAUUUUGUUUGUUUGUCCAAUAAGUUGCUGGUUUAUAUUGCAGUGGAAAAUUAAACGUAGACUUAGCUUUUUGAUGGCUAGAGUCUCCCCGUUGUGUCUUUCACGAAGGCCUUGGAUGAGAUUAUAGAGAGAAAAUAUUGAGCAUUCCUUAGAAAUUUCAGUGGUUAUUGAAUUAAUGGGACCAUUGAACUGGUGUUGAUGAAUAAGCCAAAAGUCCAAGAAUAUUAAAUAUUGAACUGGUGUUGAUGAAUAAGCCAAAAGUCCAAGAAUCGUGUGGCCGAGAGAGGAAUUUAUGUGAUUUUGUUUGUUUUUUCUUUAGCUAAAAGUCCAAGAAUAUUAAAUGGCCAAGAGAGAAAUUUAUGUGGUGUUUGUUGCUUGUGUAAGCAAGUCGUGUUUUCAUAGGCAUUGCGUACAUAUGCCGUGGGAUUCAUCAGUUGCAAUUUGUGUCAUCCUAGGGGGUAAAGCUAUUAAAUUAAUACCUCAUUCUAUGACAAUCCUCAUAACCGACGGAUUCAUCAGUUGCAAUACCUUAUUUUUUUAUUAAAUAUAUAAAAAUUUAAAAUCAUAACCGUUUAGUCAUUAAAGCAUUUAUAUUAUUCUAUAAUAACUAUAAAAAAAAAUUAAACGUAGCCACCUAGUAAUUAAUGAGACACCCAACUAGCUAGGGAAACGAUGAACCUCUUUUUGACGGCCUUGUAACCAAGCAGAUUGGAAAAAAUAACCAUGCUGUAGCCCAAGCCCACCAACAUCACCCCCAGCAGAUGGAAAAAUGCUCAUAACCAUUUCGGAAAAAACACACCUAGGCUACUAUGAAAGUGGAAUAAAUCGAUAUUAUCAUCCAAUAAUCGUAGCAGAACCAAAAAAAUAAUAAAAUGUUCAUACCACUCCAUCUUAUUAAUGGGAAUGACUCUGACUGCAUACAUAUGUAGGACUCCUGCUAAAUUUAUCUGAUAAAUUAUCAUGAAAAAACUUAAUAAAGUCAGAAAAACAAUUAUGAAAUGCUUCGUAAAUUAAAUGAAAUGGAGAAGAAAACUCAGGAAAUAAAUGUUCAAUUCGACAAUAAAAAAUGAAAGCAUUUCUAUUCAAUAAUACUUCUUGGCUCACAAAUAAACUGGCAACAAUUAUAUGAGAAUCAAAUCUCCCAAUCACAUGGUCAUAUAAAAUACUCAAUACUCAGAAAGAAAAUUUAUAGAAUAAUAAGUCUCAGAUCCUUUGUCACCAGUAACUCCUAGAUUUCCAGGUCAACUCUAUUUAACUGUACAGGUAGACAACAAAUUUACAAUCUAAGAAAAAAAAUUAGAAAGCAUUCCUCAAACAGGUUGGAAAAGAUACUAGAGACAAGAAGAUUAUAAGCAAUAGUAGCAGAAAAUAUAGAGCAUUACUGUGCAGAAAAAUGUGAUAUAAUUACAAAAAAAGCUCAUCCUAACUUCCUUGGCUAUUGCUUAUGAUGACAGUUUCAGGUUUAGAAACCAAAACUCAUUCAAUAGAAAAUGAAUGUUCAGUUCAUAAUCUCUCAGAGGCAGAAUCAUAAUUCUUAGCCUUCCUCAUUUGAUCUCCUUAGUGCAUACACGUGCUACUACUUCGUAGAACUCAUUUAGCAGAGUUUUUCAGUUAUUUUCCCAAACCGAGUUGAUAAACAAGAAUUAGCUUUUGAUGAAUUAAGCAAGGUUGGAAAUUAAGGGGAAGAGUGCUCCAUCUUGUGUGCAGUACUUGUACUCAAAUUCACUGAGGUAGAAGAUUACUUUAGACAUGUUUACGACAAGACAUUAGCAUGAAUCAAACUUCAAACCGAACCAUUUUUCUAUUCUAUGAAAUGGAUUUCUGGAUAAAUCAUAUAUAUAUAAAUAUUGAUGAGCUUCAUCAGAUGCAAACCCUGCCAAGCCUCCAAGCUGGUUUUUAGUUAUGGCAAGGACAGAUUGGAAAAAUAUGAAAAAAAAAUAGGAAGAAUUAUUUUUGUGUUUUAAAAGUUUUUUUAAAAAAUUUAAAAAUGUUGUUUUAUUUCUAAUUAAUAUUUUUUGAUAUUUUUAUAUUAUUUUAAUAUUAAAAAUAAUUUUUUUAAAAAUAACAAGCAAUUCGUUUUCUAAUGUAAAGAAGAGUCGGACAUCAUCAUUAUAAACAGUUGGCCCACUCUCUGCAAUUUGUGUCGGACACGUGGUUCUACACCACUGGAGUCUAUCUAACAGGAAGAAAUAGACUAUAGAUUUUCACAAGGGUAGUUUUGUCAAGAUAAAAAGAAAAGGCUGGUCUUUAGAUUUUUUAGAUUUCCUGUGUGAGAAUAAUUGAAACAUCAGGAGACCUCACCAGAACACUCCCUUUACAUUUUGACCAAAAAGCCCAACCAAUAACAAAAUAAACAGUAAAUAAACUUAUAUGAAUAUUAAUCAAUCGAGUAAUAUAUAGUAAUGGCAAAAUCCCUCUCCCCUUAAUUCAUAUCCAAUCCCGUCCGUUCAUUUUAUAAUUCAACGCAUUGAAAUAAGGAAAAAAAAUAAAAGAAGUCUCCCUCUAAUAAAGAUAAUAAAAAUUGGAGAGAGUAUCUGGCGGUGCUGGGUAAUGGUCUAUCUAAGGUUCCUGUACAUCCGAUGCAGAAGAUCUUAGCCGCUUAACAACCACAUUCUCAAAUAUUUAGAUUUAAAAAAACACAGGUAUAAUAAUUUAAGAAGAAACGUGUUUUUCAAGUUGUGUCAAAUGCAGAAUGCUUUAAUUCAUACAAGGAAAAUCUAGUUGAUAAUAUAGUUUGGUACAGGCACCAUCGAUUUAGAAUUACAAUAAUGAUUAAUUUUUAAAAUAUUAUUAAUUUAAAAAUAUAUUAAAAUAAUUUUAUUUUAUUUUUUAAAAUUUAUUUUUGAUACUUAUAUAUAAAAAUGAUCUGAAAAUAUUCAAAAAAAAUCAAAUCAAAACAAAUUUAUUUUUUAAAAAAUAAAUUUACAAUAUAAAAUAAAAAAUAACCUUGGUAUUUGCCUGGUGGCCUCUCUCGGGACACAACGCUGCACUUCCUUAAAUGAAAAUAUUUAAGUCGGUAGCUGCAUGAGGUUUUACCUCAGGGUUUUACCUCAGGGUUUUACACAAUGUUGAUGUGCUCCAGUUCAGUUGCAUUCUCUAAUGACCAAACAUUACAUAAACUUCUUGCAUCGAUGCGUUUACAAGCCAAUCCUUGAAUGCCAUUUAAGAACUUGACCUGAAAAUCUCUAUCUCCGUUGAUACUCAAAUUACCCAACCCAACUGUUUUACUUGGAAAAUUAUUAAUACAUUUCCCAAAAUCUCCAUCCACCUCUCUUACUAAAAUUUUGUAUGUGCUUAAUGAUAGGAUCCCAUCCCGAGAUCUGAGAUACUCCACGAAGUCAGAGAAACCUUCGAAAUGGCAUUCCAAAGUUUCCAAAUUUCUCAAGGAUCCUACUUCCUUUCCUUUAACUGUUAUCGGAGCAGCACCUCGCACCAUAAACUCUUCUAGUACAAAGACUUGCAGGUGAGAGAGUUUUGGUAAUAUCCCACUAGGAAACUCCUUUUCACCACAUCCAUUCAUUCUAAGAUACCUCAGGUUGGUUAGGCAUUCCAUUCCUUGCGGCAUCUUUUCAAGUGAAGUACGAGAGAGAUCCAACCUCUUUAGUGCCCUGAGCUUCUUUAAUGAUGGAACAUGUCUUAAGUUCUCUAAAUUAUUGAGCAAUAACGCAGUGAGACUCACCAAAUCAGAGACAGAGUCUGGCAAUUUUUCAAUACCUGUCCAAGACAGAUCGAGGACCUUGAGCCCAUGCAAUUGCUUGAAAAAUGAAUCCGCAAUAGAUCGCAACCCGUCAUUAUAAUUUAGAAAUAGAGAUGACAAAUUUGGACACACUGGUGAAUAGCUAGAAGGAAUUUCUUCGAUCUCGUUUUGCAUUAAUGAAACUAUCGUCAGAUUCUCCGUCCACUCCUCUACAUCUGGCAACUCUUUUAAUUGCGCACCUACUUUAACCAUGUAUUGAGGGCUCUCCAGCAGUACAUGGAUGGCCAUGUCCCUAAUCAAGUCAUGCAUCUUGACAAAUCUCCUAGCAACAUACUCCAUUUUUGCACUUUCCAAUAAACAGACAUUUUCAAGUCUAUUAAGCAUUGUGUGGCCCUCGUCAAAUGCAUCUCCCUUGCUCCUCUUUCCUUUAAUUAUUCCCUCAUCGAUCAAAUAACCUAUCAACUCCUCCCUUUCAAUCAUAUCAUCUUCAGGAAAUAAUGCACAGUACAAGAGACAUUGUUGUAGUGCUAAAUAACCUAACCGAUCAUAACUAAACCUCAAUAACUUGAAUACCUUCUCAUCCAUGUCCCUAAAUUCUGAUUCUCUCAAUUUCUUCAAUGUAUUUCUCCACUCAUGUAGAUCAUCCACUCCCCUCAAGCUUCCUGCCACUAUAAUAAUUCCCAGUGGUAAACCAGCACAUUCCCUUGCAACAGCUUUCGCAAUUCCUUCCAUUUCUGGUGAAAGUGCUACAUCACGUCCAAGUUUCUCCAUGAACAAAGUCCAAGCCUCUCCCUCGAAAAGUGGCUUCACUUUGAUUUUGGGGUGGCAAGCCAUCCGAUGACAAAUCGUUUUUGAUCGAGUUGUUAUAAUCAGCUUGCAUCCUUUCAACUUCUCAGGAAUUCCCACUUCCUCAAGCUCAAAAUUGUUCCACAAAUCAUCUAAAAUGAGAAUCUAUUUUUGUUUCUUCCUUAGUUCUUCUGACAAUUUAGCAGCUCUAUACAGAUCAUCAUCUUCGCUUGAAAGGUUUAGAUCAAGAUGUUUAGCAAUAAGAUUCUACAAUCUAUUAAUGCUGAAAUCACGAGACACAAUCACCCACCAAACAUGAUCACAAAUAUCUUGUCUUUGUAGAAGCUCAUUAUAAAUAUAUUGCAGUAUUAUGGAUUUACCAACUCCCCCCAUCCCAUAAAUGCCAAUAGUUGAGACUUUCCCAUUCAUUAACAAAGACCAUAUCACCUUUGUAUUCUCUUCGAAUGCUCGACCCACUGGCUUUGUUGAGCUAGUAGGUAAUGGAACUCCUCUAGUCUUGUUGUAUUUCAGACUUUCAGAAGAUCUAGCUCCUGCGCCAGCCUGCACUACUGAUCUUCCACUAUUCUCCACAUCAUCAUCCUCCACUGGUUCUGUCCUCACUCUAACCAUGUCCAGCGCAUCAUGCCUAUUUACAUCAUCGUUUACUUAUGGAGCACAAGGUUGAUCAUCACAUCUUCCAAUGUCAAGACAAAAUUGGGAUGAAUCUCCUUGAGGCUCCAGAAGCUGCACUUGCUCUGUUCUAAGUACAUUCUCAAAUGCAUCAUGCUGAAAAGAUCCUUCACCAGUGUUUUCCAUGCCAUUUUCCGCUUGUAGAUGCGACUGAAUUCUAUUUUCUCCUGGACCUUGUUCCAUGCCCUGAACUCCCACAUGUAUCCUUCCAGCACCCCCUGCCAUAUUGCCAAGUACUGCAUUGCUUUGUUCCAACGCUUGAUCCACUGGUUCUGUCCUCAGUCUGCUCUCGAGUGCCCCUUCGGAAACUCUAUCUUCUUGUGCUCUCAUUCCGGUCAUGCUUACUACGUCGUUUCCUGCUAUUGCAUGUGAAGAAAUCCUCUCUUCCACUACUCCGGGUUCUACAACCUGAACUUCUCUUUGUACCCUUCCAAUACCUCCUCCCGUAUUUUCAUUCUCAAUGUUUAGUUCUUGUAGACAAGUUGAAAUUCCACAGUCAUUAACAUUGACUGCACUUGCUGUGAUUUUUUGUCUUUUGUGGCCACCACAUAUAGCUAGAAAGGCUGCUUCUUGAACUUCUGUAGUCACCCCAGGACAAAUGGCAACAUUAUGCCCUCUCUCUUUUGAUAAAUGCCAUUUGAUCCUCGAAAUGGAAGUAUCCUUGGCAUAUGUAUGUGGACAAAACUUACACUUCAUCCUACCAUCAGCCCUAUAUUCAACAUGAAUCCGAAAUGGAUACUUUGAUCCAACCGUUUCGAACUAUAGAAAAAAAAACCGGGGUCAAAAUAAAGAAUAAAAAUUGAUGGAAGUUACCCUUAUUUUGCUA
rnacentral:lncRNA from 1 species